GGGCCCGCACAAGCGGUGGAGUAUGUGGUUUAAUUCGAUGCAACGCGAAGAACCUUACCAGGGUUUGACAUCCUGCGAAUUUCUGGGAAACCGGAAAGUGCCUUCGGGAGCGCAGUGACAGGUGGUGCAUGGCUGUCGUCAGCUCGUGUCGUGAGAUGUUGGGUUAAGUCCCGCAACGAGCGCAACCCACGUCUUUAGUUGCCAGCAUUUAGUUGGGCACUCUAGAGAGACCGCCGGUGAUAAACCGGAGGAAGGUGUGGAUGACGUCAAGUCAUCAUGCCCCUUACAUCCUGGGCUACACACGUACUACAAUGGCAAGUACAGACGGCCGCUAACCCGCGAGGGGGAGCUAA
rnacentral:rRNA from 1 species